GACGAACGCUGGCGGCGUGCUUAACACAUGCAAGUCGUACGGUAAGGCCCUUUCGGGGGUCCACGAGUGGCGAACGGGUGAGUAACACGUGAGUAACCUGCCCUUGACUUUGGGAUAACUUCAGGAAACUGGGGCUAAUACCGGAUAGGAGCUCCUGCUGCAUGGUGGGGGUUGGAAAGUUUCGGCGGUUGGGGAUGGACUCGCGGCUUAUUAGCUUGUUGGUGGGGUAGUGGCUUACCAAGGCUUUGACGGGUAGCCGGCCUGAGAGGGUGACCGGCCACAUUGGGACUGAGAUACGGCCCAGACUCCUACGGGAGGCAGCAGUGGGGAAUAUUGCACAAUGGGCGGAAGCCUGAUGCAGCAACGCCGCGUGCGGGAUGACGGCCUUCGGGUUGUAAACCGCUUUCGCCUGUGACGAAGCGUGAGUGACGGUAAUGGGUAAAGAAGCACCGGCUAACUACGUG
rnacentral:rRNA from 1 species